rnacentral:rRNA from 1 species
CCUACGUGUGGCUGCAGUGGGGAAUAUUGGACAAUGGGGGGAACCCUGAUCCAGCGACGCCGCGUGAGUGAAGAAGUAUUUCGGUAUGUAAAGCUCUAUCAGCAGGGAAGAAAGAAAUGACGGUACCUGAAGAAAAAGCAUCGGCUAACUACGUGCCAGCAGCCGCGGUAAUACGUAGGGGGCAAGCGUUAUCCGGAUUUACUGGGUGUAAAGGGGGCGCAGACGGCAAUGCAAGCAAGGAGUGAAAGCCCGGGGACCAACCCCGGGACUGCUCUUGGAACUGCAUGGCUGGAGUACAGGAGGGGCAGGCGGAAUUCCUAGUGUAGCGGUGAAAUGCGUAGAUAUUAGGAGGAACACCGGUGGCGAAGGCGGCCUGCUGGACUGUGACUGACGUUGAGGCCCGAAGGCGUGGGGAGCAAACAGGAUUAGAUACCCUGGUAGUC